AACGAACGCUGGCGGCAUGCCUAACACAUGCAAGUCGAACGAGACCUUCGGGUCUAGUGGCGCACGGGUGCGUAACGCGUGGGAACCUGCCCUUAGGUUCGGAAUAACUCCCCGAAAGGGGUGCUAAUACCGGAUAAUGUCUUCGGACCAAAGAUUUAUCGCCUUUGGAUGGGCCCGCGUUGGAUUAGCUAGUUGGUAGGGUAAAAGCCUACCAAGGCGACGAUCCAUAGCUGGUCUGAGAGGAUGAUCAGCCACACUGGGACUGAGACACGGCCCAGACUCCUACGGGAGGCAGCAGUGGGGAAUAUUGGACAAUGGGCGAAAGCCUGAUCCAGCCAUGCCGCGGGAGUGAUGAAGGCCGUAGGGUUGUAAAGCUCUUUUACCCGGGAUGAUAAUGACAGUACCGGGAGAAUAAGCUCCGGCUAACUCCGUG
rnacentral:rRNA from 1 species